AAUAAAAUGGUUAUGAAACGUUACGGCAAAACGUUUAUGAAACAGUUUUGAAACCAAUGUGUGCUGCCUGGGUAUCUAGUAUCUAGUAUAUACUAUGUAGUAUCAAAGUCUGCCCCUUUAAAGUUACAGAUUUAAUUGAUGGAAUGAAGGAAUACAAAAAUUAGGAUUUAUAUAAUAUAUAAUAUUAUAUUUUAUAUUUAUAAUUGUUUCUUGAAAUAGUUUUAUAUCUAUUAUUAUUAUUACGUCACGAUGUUAAGUGCAUUGCAAUGCAUGUCCGCGAUAAGCAAGUACGCGUCGCACGUGUUCACGCUCGGGAGAGACUUGAACGCCAAAAAUCCGCUCGCUCCGAAAGCUCGUGCGGAUAGAUCGUCGAGUCACUCAUCGCGCAUGUUUGGUGAUUUCAACGCUUAGGGCCCUGUUAUUUUCGUAACUCGUUAAAGCGUGACGGACUCAUCUCGUUAAUUUGAAAUUUGAUAAUCGAUUGCCGCGCAAUCGAGAGUCAAGUAUCGAACAGUCGAAUUCUACGCGAGCGAUAAGGCAGCGCAAACACUUGUAUAGCAAACUUCUGUGUGUGUGUAUGUGUGUGGAAAAUACAUUAGCAAUUUUUUCACACGGAAAUAAAAUUUUUGCAAGAAUAAAUGAACUUUUCUGACGUAACCUUAGGAUAAAUCGAUUAUGUGACAGCGAUAUGCUGGCGAUAUGACGAUUCUCACGUCUUGCGGAGAAUCAAAUUUGUUUUUACAUAAACUUGUAAAAUUGGAGCGCGCAAGAGAUUGACACGACCUGAAUUCCAUUAAAUUGAUGGUUGCAGUGUCAGUUUUUGUCAUUAUCUAUGAAUUUCGCCACGCGGAAAAAUUCAUAUUCCCGUAAGCGAUAAUAGAUUGCGAUAUCGAAGAAGGAUACAGAUUUGCACCGCUCUGAAGUUUGCUGUAUCAACUAUAGAUCAUGAAGGUAGUUUCGGAACUCUUCUCAAGAUGGUAGUACCGUUACUUCAGUCACUAGAGACUGCAUCUUAUAUAGUACAUGUGCGUGUGUACGUGUCGAUGUACUAUUCGCAGCUUCCUAGACUUCUUUUUAUGUGGAAUCACUCGCGCACAAAAACCACUCACGGAAAGAUUUCCCAGUGAUGCAUUCUAGAACGUAACGUGGAAUUGAUAAAUUUAUAUUAAUUAUAUGCAAUAUACAAAAAAUACUUUUUACUCUCUCCGUUCUCUUAUAAAUAUAUUAUUCCAAAAAUAAUGAGUAAUGACAUAGAAAAUCGAUAUAAAUAUUGAAGAUAUUAAAUAAUGAAAUAAUAGAAAAAAGUAUCGAAUCACAUAGCCUGCAUUAAUUUAUUAAUGUAAUACCAUUAAUACCAACAAUCACUCAACAGAAAAGGUCUCACGUUUAAUUCCCUACAAUCGAUUUUCGCUCAUAAAUCUAGAAAUUUAUUCGAGAUUUAUCCUGAGAUUUAGAAUCCUCUCUUAUGCUAUAUUUAACAUUACUGGUACCUCGCACACACACACACACACACACACACACGUUUUCAACUAUCGAGAAUGAUAUUCCGACAAGUAUAUAAAUGCAUGUACACGUAUUCUUAUACGUUCACAUUCAUUCGGCUAAUACCCGAACGAGGCGCGAGAGCGCGACACCGGCGCGGCGGCGCACGAUAAGGAUACGCGCUCGACUCGCGGCAGUCGCGGCAGCCGAGCGCGGCCGAAGUCGCACGAGUGCGAGCGGAGCGAACAUAGACGCGCUUGAAACACAGUGCGCGGAUAGUGCAGCACGAGUGAGUAUUGUCAUGUUGCACUAGGGCUCACGGAGCGUUUUGAUUUUUGCACAACUGUCAAAUCGGAGGCGCUCUACUCUCACGACUGUGAAAGCGGUGCUUCGUGAGUGACGCCUGUAGUAGCACUGGCCUCGCGCGAAUUUCCCUCUUUCUCCCUUUAUCGUGGCCUCUGCAUUUCUCUCUCUCUCUUUCUCUCUGUCGCUCUCUCCCUCUCUCCCUCUUUCUCUCUCUCUCUCGGACGCAAAUUUGUCCCGCUUGCACGUUCGCUCCGACCUGUCAGGCUUGCUUUCUCGCUUCGCAGAGCGCCCGGUCCGCGUGUUCACCUCCUUCCCGUCGUACGCUCGAUAAUCGUCCGUUCAAAGACACAACGACACGGUGACGUCCGUCGCGACACUGACGUUUUUGCUUUCAAUCGACCGCGUCGCGUGUGCGCCACCAGUUGCGUGUUGCGUAACUGCAUUUUACGACAGCCUACCUUCGCGUCUACCGUGGGUGCAUCGGCCCAGCCGCCUCUUCCGUCUCAUCUCGCCGUGCCGGAGUCUCUGGUGUUACUAAACUUCAACUUUGACGUUUGAGGCGCGUGACUUUACUGCAGUGUCCUGUAAAACGCGUGGUAGCACAGCCUAGGAAGAGGCAGAAGUGCUCGUUGACGAUGGCGGCGGGAACGUGCCGAUUCGCUUAAAGAGACAGUAUCUGCAGAAAUCCGACAAGGUGAGUCAGGUCCAGCAAAA
rnacentral:lncRNA from 1 species